rnacentral:rRNA from 1 species
GGGGAAUAUUGCGCGAUGGGGGAAACCCUGACGCAGCGACGCCGCGUGAAGGAAGAAGGCCUUCGGGUUGUAAACUUCUUUGACCGGGGACGAACGAAAUGACGGUACCCGGGGAACAAGCCACGGCUAACUACGUGCCAGCAGCCGCGGUAAUACGUAGGUGGCGAGCGUUGUCCGGAAUUACUGGGUGUAAAGGGCGUGUAGGCGGGGAUACAAGUCAGGUGUGAAAUUCCGCGGCUCAACUGCGGGACUGCAUUGGAAACUGUAUAUCUUGAGUAUUGGAGAGGGAAGUGGAAUUCCUAGUGUAGCGGUGAAAUGCGUAGAGAUUAGGAGGAACACUAGUGGCGAAGGCGGCUUCCUGGCCAAAUACUGACGCUGAGGCGCGAAAGCGUGGGGAGCAAAC